rnacentral:rRNA from 1 species
AGCGAACGCUGGCGGCAGGCCUAACACAUGCAAGUCGAACGGCCGCACCGUGAUAGCUUGCUCUUACGUGUGGCGAGCGGCGGACGGGUGAGGAAGACAUCGGAUUCUACUUUUUCGUGGGUGCUAACGUCGGGAGAGUUCCGCUGAUACCGCAUACAACCUACGUGUGACGGCAGGGGUUCUUCGGACAUUCGGCGUUUGAGUGAGGCGCUGUCGGGUAACCAGGUGGGCGGGGUAAAGGCCCACCAAGGCGACGAUCCGUAGCUGGUCUGAGAGGAUGAUCAGCCACAUUGGGACGGAGACACGGCCCGAAAUCCUACGGGAUGGGGCAGAGGGGAAUCUUGCGCAAUGGGCGAAGGCCUGACGCAGCCAUGCCGUGUGAAUGAUGAAGGUCGUAGGAUUGAAAAAUUCUUUCACCGGGGACGAUAAUGACGGUACCCGGAGAAGAAGCCCCGGCUAACUUCGUG